UACGUAGGGCGCAAGCGUUAUCCGGAAUUAUUGGGCGUAAAGAGCUCGUAGGCGGUUUGUCGCGUCUGCCGUGAAAGUCCGGGGCUCAACUCCGGAUCUGCGGUGGGUACGGGCAGACUAGAGUGAUGUAGGGGAGACUGGAAUUCCUGGUGUAGCGGUGAAAUGCGCAGAUAUCAGGAGGAACACCGAUGGCGAAGGCAGCCCUGGCA
rnacentral:rRNA from 1 species